rnacentral:lncRNA from 1 species
AUGUGCGUGUUUCAGGAUUUCAGAGGCCGGGAACUGCAAAGUGUCCCUGAACCUCCUCAACUGCUGCAGCUCUCCCCCGCUCCCAGCUUGAAUCUGCUCUUUGCAGGUCAUCAUUUUCUGACGAUCAGGGAGCCCCACAGAACUGGUGUCUUGCGGUGGGUAACCAACCAGAAUGGACCAGGCAAAAAUUCCAGCAGUGGACACACACCUAAGACAACAAAGUUUACUUUAAAAGAAUUGAAAGGGGCGAGCUUAAUUUCAUCAAAGGAACAUCAGGAUGAAUUGUUGAAAACCACAAAAAGCGAUGCCAUUUAGAUCGCCUCCAAAAUGAAUGCUGCCAGCUGUCUGAAAAGACACUUGGGUGCUGGUGUCCAUGCCCGAGGGUAAGGCUCUUCUUCAUCUGAGGCCUCCUAGGAAACUAAGAAUUAGGGACUAACAUGUGUGAGAGCCAAAAUUAAGAAAAAGUGAGAAAAAGUACGGAAUUACUUGUAAGUCAGAGCCCAGAGAGACCAUUUGAGCGGAGAUUUUUCCAGCGCGCAUGCACACAUUUUCAAAUUCAGGGCUAGAGAAAGCAGAGGGAUGUUGAGAACCGACUUCAUCAGAAUCGAGCGAACAAACGCUCAGACUUAGAAGCGUGGAGAAAAGGUAGGAGGCCCUGUGCUUGAAAGAAGCCUGUGAUGUCAGAAGGUAUUUUACAGCAAAGAAGUCCUUUUGUGAAGAGGGGAAACUCUUUUUUAAUUACCAAUGUUCAGUUUACUCCAUGUUCUUCCAGAGUUUAUAAUCUAAGACUUGUUAAUUUGGCACAAAUAUACAUAAAUCACUUCUGUCCAGGGGAGGAAAGGGAGGAUGGCGGUGUCAGCAAGUUUUCAGUAGUGGUGGAAGUGAAUGAAUACAUUUAUGAUUUUAGUCAUCGUGGGUAAUUCUAACACCCUUAUUGUUUAUUUGAGGAUGUAAGGUGACUAAAUAAAUCUGAAUCACAACUGUACUUUAUUGAUUUUGCAGAGUUUAGAGGAAGAUUUAUGAGACAUGGAACCUUCCAUCGGGUUUGGAAGAAAGUAGAGGGAAUGCGGAGAUGCCAGACCGCCACUAAGACCCAUGGACAAUCCCGUACUCACACUUCUUUAUCGAACUUUAAGAUUUAUCAGUAAUAUGCUGCCUUUGCAAGAUGAAAACAAACUAAUGCCAAGAAGGCAUAUUCUUCGGUAUUUGGA